GCAACAGGACAAGAGUCACUGCCUGUAAAAAGGGAGGGAAAAACGUUUCAGUGAUUAGUAAAAAAAUAAAUUAUGAACAGUAAAGGUCCCAAUGACAAAUUAAUUUUCAUUUCAUUAGCUGAUAGUCUGAUACCGUCAUUUUAUCAUGUUCACUUUAACCACUGAUUGCCAAAAUGGCAAAUAAUAAAGCAAGUAAAUUUUAUCAGUCUAUAUACUUCAAAAUAACACACGACUCAGUGAAAAUCUACAGAUACAGAAAAACAACAGAAACUAGAACCUGAAGGCUUAAAGAGGUUAGUUUACAACAAAAGAAAGUGCCUUUCCUGAACCAUAUGUAGAGAGAGAAGAACUUGAUGGUGGAGGAAUGCAAGAUGCUUUCUUUGUAACAUUCUUUAUAUCCAAAUAUAUGGUUUCAACUUCUUUAGCAGGUAUAAGGGCAUUCAUUUUCUCACGAAAAUGACUCUCUGUGGGAGCAGCAAGAGGAAUUUCUUCUUAAAACAAAAAUUAAAAUUAGCUGCAUCACAACUGAAACAAGCUAAAAAAUGCAAGACAUCAUCAUGCAUGAAAAGGAAAACAAAUGCAUCGCAGCAUCGGCUUUUUUAUUCAAACACAUUAUGCAACUCAGUAAAUUUCAUCGAUUGAUACUCAACUCAACUAAGCCUUUA
rnacentral:misc_RNA from 1 species